AUUGCAGAACACAUUGAACAUCGAUACCUUGAACGCAUAUGGCGGCCUCGGGUCCGUCCCGAGGCCACGCCCGUCUGAGGGUCGGCG
rnacentral:rRNA from 2 species